rnacentral:rRNA from 1 species
CAGAGGUGCCGAGCGUUAGGCGGAAUCACUGGGCUUAAAGCGUGUGUAGGCGGACUUCUAAGUACCUUGUGAAAUCCCACGGCUUAACCGUGGAACUGCUUGGUAUACUGGUUGUCUUGGGUCAUCUAGGGGCGAGCGGAACAAACGGUGGAGCGGUGAAAUGCGUAGAUAUCGUUUGGAACGCCAAUGGUGAAAACAGCUCGCUGGGGAUGCACCGACGCUGAGACACGAAAGCCAGGGGAGCGAACGGGAUUAGAUACCCCGGUAGUCCUGGCUGUAAACGAUGUCGACUAGAUCGUAGUGGCUCUGACGCUAUUACGGUCGAAGCAAAAGUGCUAAGUCGACCGCCUGGGAAGUACGGUCGCAAGGCUA